UCUCUGGUAGUCCAGUGGUUAGGACAGAGCACUUUCACUGCUGGGACCUGGGUUUGAUUCUGGGUCGGGGAA
rnacentral:tRNA from 1 species